rnacentral:rRNA from 1 species
GUCCACGCCGUAAACGAUGGGCACUAGGUGUGGGAGGUGUCGACUCCUCCCGUGCCGUCGCUAACGCACUAAGUGCCCCGCCUGGGGAGUACGGCCGCAAGGCUAAAACUCAAAGGAAUUGACGGGGGCCCGCACAAGCAGCGGAGCAUGUGGUUUAAUUCGACGCAACGCGAAGAACCUUACCUGGGCUUGACAUGUUGGUGACCGCCGUGGAAACACGGUUUUUCCUUCGGGACACCAUCACAGGUGGUGCAUGGCUGUCGU